rnacentral:rRNA from 1 species
UACGUAGGGUGCAAGCGUUAAUCGGAAUUACUGGGCGUAAAGCGUGCGCAGGCGGUGAUGUAAGACAGAUGUGAAAUCCCCGGGCUCAACCUGGGAGCUGCAUUUGUGACUGCAUUGCUUGAGUGUGGUAGAGGGAGAUGGAAUUCCGCAUGUAGCAGUGAAAUGCGUAGAUAUGCGGAGGAACACCAAUGGCGAAGGCAAUCCUCCUGGACCUGCACUGACGCUCAUGCACGAAAGCGUGGGGAGCAAACAGG